ACAUGCCUUGAGAGAGAGGAAGGUAAGAAAACAAAAGUUGAAUGAAAGAUUCUGAAUCUGCCUAACACCCUCAAGCACAUCACAUGGCCUUAUGUUUCUUCCUUAGCAUUGAUCUCUUUUCCCAUUACUUUAUCCUCUUUUCUUUGCGAGCAUUGUGGAGUUGUUUUAUAUAUGUGCCACUUUUUAUCUACAUAUGUACUACCUUGAAG